rnacentral:tRNA from 1 species
AAGAUAUUAGUAAUAAUUAUUACAUAACUUUGCCAUAGUUAAAUUAUAGGUCACAACCCUAUAUAUCUUA